AGUGAACGCUGGCGGUAGGCUUAACACAUGCAAGUCGAACGGCAGCACAGUAAGAGCUUGCUGUUCCGGGUGCCAAGUGGCGGACGGGUGGUGAAUACACCGGAAUUUACUUUUUCGUGAGGGAUAACGAAGGGAAACUUAAGCUAAUACCGCAAACGACCUACGGGUGAAGUCAGGGGAUCUUCGGAGCUUGCGCGAUAGCAUGAGCCGAUGUCGGAUUUGCUUGUUGGCGUGGUAAAGGCCUACCAAGGCGACGAUCCGAAGCUGGUCUGGGAGGAUGAUCAGCCGCACAGGAACGGAGACACGGUCGAGACUCCUACAGGAGGCAGCAGUGUGGGAUAUUGGACAAUGGGCGCAAUCCUGAACCAGCCAGACCGCGGGUGUGGAGAAGCCGUGCGGGUGGUAAAGCCCUUUUGUUGGUAAAGAAAAGCAGCAGGUGAAGACCCCGCUGUUCUGACGGUACCCAAAGAAUAAGCACCGGCUAACUUCGUG
rnacentral:rRNA from 1 species